ensembl:snRNA U6 U6 spliceosomal RNA
GUGCUCGUUUCGGCAGCACAUAUACUAAAAUUGGAACAAUACAGAGAACAUUAGCAUGGCCUCUGCACAUGGAUGACAUUGCAAAUUUGUGAAGCGGUCCAUAUUUUU